GCCAGAAUCUCCUUUCGAGCUGCGCUCCUUUUGGGAUUGAGACCUCUGCCGAGACGCCUUCUGCCUGCAACAACAUCAGACAGACAUCUAUUACUGGUAACUCUGAAAGGUCACACGCUAAGGGGCUUGUGUGAAAAAACUGCAACCAUAAUGUUACUUUACUGGAUGAUUCAAAAGUAGGAAAGGUGCCACGAUGUGCUGGAUCGAGGGCGAGAAGAACACAGAGAAGGCCCAAAGAAGAAGCGGGGAAGUGUCUGAAAGCAUCUGUCAU